rnacentral:rRNA from 1 species
AGCGAACGCUGGCGGCAGGCCUAACACAUGCAAGUCGAGCGCCGUAGCAAUACGGAGCGGCAGACGGGAGAGUAACACGUGGGAACGUACCCUUUGGUUCGGAACAACCCAGGGAAACUUGGGCUAAUACCGAAUAAGCCCUCACGGGGAAAGAUUUAUCGCCGAAGGAUCGGCCCGCGUCUGAUUAGCUAGUUGGUGGGGUAAUGGCCCACCAAGGCGACGAUCAGUAGCUGGUCUGAGAGGAUGAUCAGCCUCACUGGGACUGAGACACGGCCCAGACUCCUACGGGAGGCAGCAGUGGGGAAUAUUGGACAAUGGGCGCAAGCCUGAUCCAGCCAUGCCGCGUGGGUGAUGAAGGCCCUAGGGUUGUAAAGCCCUUUCGGCGGGGAAGAUAAUGACGGUACCCGCAGAAGAAGCCCCGGCUAACUUCGUGCCAGCCGCCGCAGUAA